rnacentral:rRNA from 1 species
AACGAACGCUGGCGGCAUGCCUAACACAUUCAAGUCGAACGAGACCUUCUGGUCUAGUGGCCCACGGGUGCGUAACGCGUGGGCACCUGCCUUUAGGUUCGGAAUAACUCAGAGAAAUUUGAGCUAAUACCGGAUAAUAUCUUCGGACCAAAUAUUUAUCGCCUUUAGAUGGGCCCGGGUUGGAUGAGGUAGUUGGUGGGGUAAAGGUCUGCCAAGCCGACGAUCCAUAGCUGGUCUGAGAGGAUGAUCAGCCGCACUGUGACUGAGACACGGCCAAGAAUCGUACGGGAGGCAGCAGGGGGGAAUAUGGGACAAUGGGCGAAAGCGUGAUCCAGCAAUGCCGCGUGAGUGAUGAAGGCCUUAGGGUUGUAAAGCUCUUUUACCCGAGAUGAUAAUGACAGUAUCGGGAGAAUAAGCUCCGGCUAACUCCGUGCCAGCAGCCGCCGUAA